AUGCACAGCGCCGCCUUCAUCCUCCACCUCCUCCUAAAGCGCGCGCUCGCCUCGGGCGCUGGCGGUGGCGCGGCGGUGCUCGCCCUCGCGCACCCGUACUCGCACGACGACCGCGUCCUCCGCAAGAUGGUAAGCGCCCCGGCCGCUCACCCGCAUUUCCUCGGCAACAGGGCCAUCCUUGCGGACCACGCGGCGGCGGUGACGCUCUUCGGGCACCCUCGCGGCCGGCUGAGCCUGGCCAUCUAUGAGGACAUGCGGGCGCCACCGGCGUUCCUCAUCGAGCUGCCCAUGCUCGCGGCCGGGCUGCAUAGGGGGGAUGGCCACGGGACCUUGAAGCUGGUGCUGGAGAGCAACACCCGCAGCGCGCGGCGACCACUCCUGUCCAACGACGAGUGGCACGUGCUGCGGCUGCUGCGCGGCGUCUCCAUGAGCGCCGGGGUGCCGCCGCCGCCGCCUGCUGACGGCUCCAAUUUCCCCGACGGCGUCAUACUCCCGUGUCUGAUUAGGAUUGAAGAGUGCUGA
rnacentral:rRNA from 1 species